GUGCUCAUUUCUGCAGCACACAUGAAAAAAUUGGAAUGAUACAGAGAGGAUUAGCAUGGCUUCUGCAUCCUCUGCAAAUGAAUGGCAAGGAUGGCAUGCAAAUUUGU